CAUCUAGCGAUCCGAUGGGGUAUUGUUGCCUUGUCGAGGAGCUUCCCGGAAACGAAAGUCUUUCGGUUCCUGGGGUAGUAUGGUUGCAAAGCUGAAACUUAAAGAAAUUGACGGAAUGGCACCACCAGGAGUGGAGCCUGCGGCUUAAUUUGACUCAACACGGGAAAACUCACCCGGCCCGGACACCGUAAGGAUUGACAGAUUGAAAGCUCUUUCUCGAUUUGGUGGUUGGUGGUGCAUGGCCGUUCUUAGUUGGUGGAGCGAUUUGUCUGGUUUAUUCCGAUAACGAGCGAGACUCUAGCCUGCUAAAUAGUGGCUGGAUUUUCACGUCCAGUCUACUUCUUAGAGGGAUAAGCGGUGUUUAGCCGCACGAGAUUGAGCGAUAACAGGUCUGUGAUGCCCUUAGAUGUCCGGGGCUGCACGCGCGCUACAAUGGAAGAAUCAGCUGGCCUAUCCAUUGCCGAAAGGCAUUGGUAAACCGUUGAAACUCUUCCGUGACCGGGAUAGGGAAUUGUAAUUAUUUCCCUUGAACGAGGAAUUCCUAGUAAGUGUGAGUCAUCAGCUCACGCUG
rnacentral:rRNA from 1 species